rnacentral:rRNA from 1 species
AUGAACGCUGGCGGCGUGCCUAAUACAUGCCAGUCGAGCGAACAGACGAGGAGCUUGCUUCUCUGACGUUAGCGGCGGACGGGUGAGUAACACGUGGAUAACCUACCUAUAAGACUGGGAUAACUUCGGGAAACCGGAGCUAAUACCGGAUAAUAUAUUGAACCGCAUGGUUCCAUAGUGAAAGACGGUUUUGCUGUCACUUAUAGAUGGAUCCGCGCCGCAUUAGCUAGUUGGUAAGGUAACGGCUUACCAAGGCAACGAUGCGUAGCCGACCUGAGAGGGUGAUCGGCCACACUGGAACUGAGACACGGUCCAGACUCCUACGGGAGGCAGCAGUAGGGAAUCUUCCGCAAUGGGCGAAAGCCUGACGGAGCAACGCCGCGUGAGUGAUGAAGGUCUUCGGAUCGUAAAACUCUGUUAUUAGGGAAGAACAAAUGUGUAAGUAACUAUGCACGUCUUGACGGUACCUAAUCAGAAAGCCACGGCUAACUACGUG